UACCCUAUGGCUCAGUUGGCUAGCGCGUGGAGCUGUUACGAUACAGUGUAUCAGCAACUCCGAGGUCCACGGUUCGAGCCCGUGUGGGGUAG